CUAUUACCUAAGUGUGCCUGAGCUAUGAAGGAAUCGAGAGCAUCGACUUAUCUCUUCAAAUAUUGGGCGGAGUGAACUGAGAUCUGGAGAUCUGGAUGCACCAACUCUUUUGGAAAUAAAGGGCAUGUAAUUUGCCAAGUGUUCCUGCUGAAGGGCCAUCCCGUAUCUCUUCUGGAUCCUUCUUUGAGCCAUUUGUGUGACAAGAAGUUCCGAAAUGUGUCAUAAGGGACACCAAACAAGAUGGAUGGGCUCGGCCAAUCGGUGAGGGAAGCUUUGUCAUGAGUUAGCCGAGUACCCUCCGCCAGAUGGGUGUGUCUAAGAG